AGCAGUCGCCACGGUAAUACGUAGGUGGCGAGCGUUGUCCGGAAUUAUAGGGCGUAAAGGGAGCGCAGGCGGACAUAUAAGUCCAUCUUAAAAGUGCGGGGCUCAACCCCGUGAGGGGAUGGAAACUGUAUGCCUUGAGUGCAGGAGAGGAAAGCGGAAUUCCCAGUGUAGCGGUGAAAUGCGUAGAUAUUGGGAGGAACACCAGUGGCGAAGGCGGCUUUCUGGACUGCAACUGACGCUGAGGCUCGAAAGCCAGGGGAGCGAACGGGAUUAGAUACCCCUGUAGUCCCUGUCUCUUAUACA
rnacentral:rRNA from 1 species